rnacentral:rRNA from 1 species
UUAAGUAAUUAAAGGAUUUGCGAUGGAUGUCUUGAGGUCUAAUCUUUAAGAGGUCAAUAGUACCAAAAGUGUAUUUUGUUAAUAGCUUUUAAUACACAAUCUUAGGUGAAAACUUAGUUUUAUUUACUUCGGGAACAGAAUCAUCUAAUUACCGAAAGGAAAAGAAAUCAACCGAGAUAUUGAUAGUAACGGUGAGUGAAUUCAAUAGAGCCUUUCUAAUAAUAAAUCUAAUAAUAUUUUGGAAUAAAUAAUGAAUCAGUUUGAAACUGACAAUACAAAGUGAUAGUCUUAUAUUAGGUUAAUUAAUUAGAUAUUAAAAAGUAGUAUGGGUAAAACUGUAUGAAUAUUUUUAUAUAUUAUAAAAAGAAAUAAGGAGUAAUCAUCUUCUAAGGCUAAAUAUGAUUAGAUCAUCAAUAGUGAAGAGUAACGUGAGUGAAAGAUGAAAAGACAGUCGAUGACUUGUGAAAUAGAUCCUGAAAUCGUUAAUCUAUAAGCAGUCAGAGUCUAAUUUAAAAAUUGGAUAAUGAUGUACCUUUUGCAUAAUGAGUCAGCGAGUAAAUAUUAAUAGCAAGAUAUAAUAGAAGUCCUAGUGAAAACGACUUAGUUAUAAAAUAGCUAUGGUGUAAGUUAUUAAUAUUUGACCCGAAACCUUAAGAUUUAGCCAUGGUCAGAUUAUAAGGAUCGAACAGGUGAGUGUUGCAAAACUCUCUGAUGAACUGUGGCUGGCUAAGUGAAAGACAAAUCUGUUGAGGAUAGCUGGUUCUCCACGAAAUAUAUCUUAGUAUAGACUGUAAAACUAGUUCUAAUCAUGUACAGCACUGAUAUUCAUAUCUAUUUAGAUUUAAUAGGGGGGUUUAUAAAACUCUACCUUUGAAUGUUAACCUCGGAAUUGGUUAGAAUAAUAUUACAGAUUCAGACUAUUUGUGAUAAGGUGGAUAGUCAAAAGGGAAACAGCCCUAAACACAUGUUAAAGUUCUUAAAUUAAUAUUAAGUGAAUGUAAGGAUGUUUUAAUUCGAUGACAGUUAUGAAGUGUAUCUGGAAGUCGUAAUCUAAUAAUGAAAGUGUAACAACUCAAUAACCUAUUGGUUUAUUAUUAUUAAAUUAAUAAUUUACUGAAUUGAAGCGCCGAAAAUUCAUAGGAUCUUUAAAUAUUAUACUGAUACUGUGUUUACAUGUAAUAAAAUUAUAUGUAAGGUAGUGGAGUGUUCUAUUAUAGGACGAAGGUUAGUUUUUAUAUUAACUGGACUUAAUAGGAGUAAUAAUGCUGAUAUGAGUAACGUAAUAACAGGUUAAAUCCUGUACCUCUUAAGCGAUAGGUUUCUUAUUAAAUGUUAAACAGAAUAAGUUUAAACGGUCUCUAAGGUUAUUAAACUAAUGUUUAUGACUGAUGAGGAAUUUAUAUGAUAAGUUUUUCAAUAAAACUCAGGAAAAUAUAUAAAUAAUUACCGUACUAAAAACCGACACAGGUUCGCGCAUAGAGUAUAUCAAGAGGUGAAUCAAUUACCCUUAAGGAACUCGGCAAAUUGCACUCGUACGUUUGACAAUAAGAGUGACCACAUUAAGUGGUAUCAUACAAUCGGGACCUGCGACUGUUUCCCAAAAACACAGAUCUCUGCAACGAUUAAUUUCUUAGUAUAGGGAUCGAGUCCUGCUCAGUGCCAAGACGCUAAAUUAAUAACUCUAAUUAAAAGUUAGGGAAGUUUUAUAACGUCUGGUAAACAGCAGUCUUAACUAUAAGGAUUCUAAGGUAGCGAAAUUCCUUGGCCACUAAUUAUGGUCCUGCAUGAAUGGAAGCACGAUGGGUCCACUGUCUCAAGGGUAAGUUCAGUGAAAUUGGAGUGGUCGUGAAGAUACGAUCUAACUGUAGAUAGACGGGAAGACCCUAUGCAGCUUUACUGCAGCUAACUAUUGUAAUAGUAAAAAUUAUGUUCAGGGUAGAUGGUAGUAUAUGUAUACCAAUAUGUAUACGUUGAUGAGACACCAUCCUUAAUUUUUCACUAUUAUUUACCAAAAUAUGGAACAGUAGUUAGUGGGUAGUUUGUUUGGGACGAACUUCUCUUAAAAAGUAUCAGAGAAAUGCAAAGUAAAACUAAGUUCGGAUGGAAACCGAAAGAUUAUUGUAAAUCUAAGUUAACGUAAUAGUUUAAGUUUUGCUGACUGUGAGACCGAUAGGUCAAUCAGGUACGCAAGUAGGUUAUAGUGAUCCGCUAAUACCGUAUGAUUGGGUUAGCGCUAAUUAGAUAAAAGCUACGCUAGGGAUAACAGCUUUAUCCCCGGAGAGAGUCCAUAUUGUCCCGGGGGCUUGAGACCUCGAUGUCGACUCAUCCUAGCUCAGGUGUGUAUCAGCACCUAAGAGUUCAACUGUUCGUUGAUUAAAAGGGUACGCGAGUUGGGUUCAGUACGUCGUAAGACAGUACGUUCCCUAUCUUCUACAGUGAUUAUGUGCUAAUGUUAGAGCAUUAUCUAGUACGAAAGGACCGAGAAAUGAUCUAUCACUGGUGACACAGUUGUAAUAUAUAUUGCAUUUGCUGUUAAGCUAAAUAGAUUUGUGAGAAGUUCUGAAUGCAUCUUAAGAACGAAACCAACUAACGGAAGCACACUAUUCUAAUAUGUUUAGAAUAAAAAGAGGAAGACUACCUCUAAUUUAAUAGGCAAAUGAUGUUAAUUCGUAAGAAUGUAGUCUAUUUGUACUAAUUUUUUAUAAGUGACUUAA